rnacentral:rRNA from 1 species
UACGGGAGGCAGCAGUAGGGAAUUUUGCGCAAUGGACGAAAGUCUGACGCAGCAAUACCGUGUGAGGGAUGAAGCAUUUCGGUGUGUAAACCUCUGUCGAUGACGAAUAAAGCAUUUGGGAGUGGAAAGCCCAGGUGUUGAAGGUAGUCAGAAAGGAAGCACCGGCUAACUCUGUGCCAGCAGCCGCGGUAA